CAUCAGCCACGGGAAUACGUAGGUGGCAAGCGUUGUCCGGAAUUAUUGGGCGUAAAGCGCGCGCAGGUGGUUUAAUAAGUCUGAUGUGAAAGCCCACGGCUCAACCGUGGAGGGUCAUUGGAAACUGUUAAACUUGAGUGCAGGAGAGAAAAGUGGAAUUCCUAGUGUAGCGGUGAAAUGCGUAGAGAUUAGGAGGAACACCAGUGGCGAAGGCGGCUUUUUGGCCUGUAACUGACACUGAGGCGCGAAAGCGUGGGGAGCAAACAGGAUUAGAUACCCGAGUAGUCCCUGUCUCUUAUAC
rnacentral:rRNA from 1 species